CGGAGCCGGCUCCCUCAGCUUGCAAGGCGGUGUGGAGGGAGAGGCGCAGGCGGGAACCAGGGCUGCGCGCGGCGCUUCCGGGCCAGCGUGAGUUCCGGGUGGGCGUGGACUCGGCGGGCCCGGCACUCAGAGCGGCCUGCUGGCCCCGCCUGCCCUGGGCAGUGAAGGGCUUAGCACCUGGUCCAGCAGCUGCUGUGCUCGAGUUCUCGCGGGGCCUUAGCUGCCUCCCCGCGGGGCAGGGCUUGGGACCUGCAGCCCGCCAUGCCUGAGCUUCCCCCCGCCCCCGCCGUGGGCUCCUGUGCGGCCCGAGCCUCCCCGACGAGCGCCGCCCCCUGCUCCACGAUGCCCAGUCCCAUCGACCACCCAAGGGCUGAGGAGUGCGGGCUCACGGUUACAGGAUUCCCAUUUCAGAACUACGACCAUUUGAAAAAUAGAAGAUUUAAAGAUUGACGCAAAGUGCAUGUACCAUGAUACACCAGGUCUCAUCUCCUGAAUAUUUGUCCUGCCCUGAGUUUUCACCUGAGGCCACCUGUACAACUGACUAGAGUAGUUCCACUGAUUGCUAAAAUGGAACAGGCAGGAUUGGUAUUGACUGUCCAAGAGCAAAGUCAGAUACAGAUUUUACUCCUUGUCUUAGGAAUUGGCUGCACCCUCUGCCAUAUUAAUUAAAUAUGAAGUCAAUCUACUCUGGUUUGACUAAAGAGAUUCAUUGAUGGUAGGACAGAACACACUGGUGCUUGAAGAGAUGAAAGGAAGAAGUCUUUGCUGCUUACAGCUGCAAGUGAGAGAAGGCUGCCAGAAUUCCCACCUUUGAGUUGUUCCUGUGUUGCAAUAUUAUCAUAAGGCUCAAGCUACCAGAGACACCCACUGUCACACUGGAGCCUGCUUCUGACCAAAACAUCCUCUGUCAAGCUAUAGACUGCUUCUGACCUCAGGUUUGCCAUUCUGAGCACAUAACAAAAAUAAAACAAGAAAAAGCAUAAGGUAUGAAAUGUUAUUCAAAAAAAGAAUGAUGAAACAAUGAACUAAAGCCUGGGCAGUAAAUAAUUCUGUCUUCAAGAUCCCACAUGGAAAAUUUUUUAGAAAGACUUCCUACCUUUCCUACUGUUUGUAAUGUGCAUCUGGAAUACUAGAGAAAGGGUCCCUAAGGUUUGCUGGAAAAAUACCUUAGCUUCUGAGUCUUAGCUUUAUUACUAAUAAACACUGGAUUUCUGGUAGUAGAGAAGGAAAUUUAGUAUUUCAUGAUGGUGAAAGAUGAAAAGAGAGGCUUUAUGGCUGUAUGAUUUGGGUAGAGCUUUUCAGUUAAUUAACGAAGAAAUAUCUGAAUUGAGUCAAUGAGGUACAGAGUUUAUUUCAUACAGAUACUUUUAAACUUCAUAAUGCCAUGACAUACCUGAUUUGUUACUAAUGUCCACAACUUAUCCACGUGUUUAUGGCAAAAAAAAAGUGCACGAAGAAGAAAAUUAUAGUUUCAAAAAUUUCUAGAAUUUGGUUUCUGGAAGAAAAUACAAGUGUCUGUGUGUUUGUGUACAUAUAUUCUAGAUAGAUGAGCCAGUAAGAUAGAGUGAGCAUUAUUUUUUCUUAUCCAAAGAAAAAUAAAAGCAAUGCACAGGUAGAAGACCUGGUAAAUUUUGUAUCAUCAUAACCACCUAAAAGUUUCGUGUGGGAAGGUAAGUCAUAACUCCAAAUAUUUUUUUCUACUUAAAAAUUAAAAUUUGUACAAGAAUAUUUGAUCCAGAAGAAAGAAAUAUAUACAUAAGGAAUUACUAGAAUUUGAAUGCAGAGCAUUUCAAACUAUCUUUAAUCCAAUGAUAUAGUUCUUAUAAAUUAAAAGUCAACAUGGCAAAUUACAAAUGUAAUAUUUAAGUGUGUCCUCAAGAAACUUAAAUAUAAAUAUUGCAAUAAUUUCUGUUAAAUUUAGUUUUAAUUCUCUUUAGUAAUGUAAAAUUCAUACCUUUAUUUUCAAAUAUAACCAUUGAGAUAAGAUCCAUUUGUCCUGGUGGAAAGUAGAAACAAAAGUGCUUUGCCUGGCAGCAAAAGAUACAAAACUUUAUCUGCCAAAACAUUCUGAGCUAAUGCAGAACAAAGGUUUGCUGCUGGGGAGUAGGGGUUGCUGAGAAAGCCUAGUUUUAAAUCCCAGGUGCAGAGUUUUAGUGGUCCAAACAGUAGAAUUGGAUCCCCACCACCACCACUCAGCAGCCUAACCCAGAGAAAGAAGCAAGAGAAGCUUGCUGCUGGGGAAGGAUCAAGAGUAAAGAUAAGAUCCCUACUUUUGCACCAAGUGUCCAGGGACUGAACAAAAUUAGGGACAAAGCAGGAACUCAGAAGAAAGAUCUAAGCAUCACUCUAAGCCCAAGGCAAGAGCAGCCCAUCUUUAAUUAAAACCACACUGGGGGCUGGGCGCAGUGGCUCAUGCCUGUAAUCCCAGCACUUUGGGAGGCCGAGGCAGGUGGAUCACAAGGUCAGGAGAUGGAGACCAUCCUGGCUAACACGGUGAAACCCUGUCUCUAAUAAAAAAUACAAAAAAAAUUAGCCAGGCGUGGUGGUGGGCACCUGUAGUCCCAGCUACUCAGGAGGCUGAUGCAGGAGAAUGGUGUGAACCCGGGAGGCGGAGCUUUGCAGUGAGCCAAGAUCACACCACUGCACUCCAGCCUGGGUGACAGAGCGAGACUCGGUCACAAAGAAAAACAAAACAAAACAAAAAACAAAAACAAAAAAAGAAAACACUGGGAAUUUGAUGUCUGUGGAGCACUGAAAAUGAUAAAAACAAAACACAAACCUAGUUCAACUCAUGACAAGACAGAAUUCCUUACGCUGACUGCUUGACAGAUGAAAAUGUGUGCCCAUUUCUCUGUGUAAUUUUCAUUUACCUUGGUUCCUAGCAUUCUUCUACAAAUAGUUUCUGGCUUUCAACCAAACAUGAGAUACACAAAGAGCCAAGAAGAAAACAACCUGUUUUCAAUAGAUAAAGCAAACAACAUAACUAGACCUAAAGAUGUGUCUGUGAGUCGGGACUAGGAUUAAUACAUACAUUUAAUACAUGUAAUAUUUAUUUAUUUCAUUGUAUGCAAUUUUUACAUAAAAACUAUAGUCUAUAGUCGUGUUGCAGAUUCAAGUUAAUAAUAUGCAAAGUAUUCAAGGGGAAAUGUAUUGAUAUCUUCAAUAUACAUUGAAAUUUAUUCAAAAAGGAAAUGUGUUAAUGGACGAAAGAUCAAUAAAUUAAAAGUGUCUGACAAAACAAUAUAAUAAAAUCUUAAUUAUAGAACCCUGAGGGUAUGUAAAUUCAUUCUUUUUUUAAAAUUUGAAAAUGUUUACAAUAUAAUAUUGGAAAAUAUAAAUUAGAUGGCAUAUAUUUCAGAAAAUCCGUAUUGUGCAUUGUGCAGAAAUAUACUCCAGAAUAAUUAAAGGGUUCAAUUUAGGAGAAUAAACUUAAAAGUGUUAGAAAAAAAUAGAAAACGGUCCUAGUGAUUUCAGUAUCAGAAAGGAUUUAGUAAACAAGACAAAACCUGGACUCAAAAUUUCCAAAGAUAAGAUCUCAAUGUUAUAAAAAUGUGUAAACCCUCCCAUAAUAUAUACUGACAUAAAAUGCCAAAUUGCAGUGCACUGCAUUGUCACAAAAAAGUGAAAAAUAUGAAUAAUGAAAUUAGCAAAUAUUAAAUUUCUUAGCACUCUGUAAUUUCU
rnacentral:lncRNA from 10 species